GUCCCAGGUGCUCCAAGCCCCAGUGUCCAGCCUGGCCUGGGGCACUGCCAGGAAUCCAGGGGCAGCCACAGCUGCUCUGGGCACCCUGGGCCAGGGCCUGCCCACCCUGCCAGGGAACAAUUCCUCAGUCCCAAGAUCCCAUCCAGCCCUGCCCUCUGGCAGUGGCAGCCAUUCCCUGGCUCCUGUCCCUCUGUCCCUUGUCCCCAGUCCCUCUCCAGCUCUCCUGGAGCCCCUCCAGGCCCUGCCAGGGGCUCUGAGCUCUGCCUGGAGCCUUCCCUUCUCCAGGGGAACAUUCCCAGCUCUCCCAGCCUGGCUCCAGAGCAGAGGGGCUCCAGCCCUGCAGCAGCUCCGGGGCCUCCUCUGGGCUCUCUCCAGCAGCUCCACGUCCUCCUGCUGUUGGCCCAGGGCUGGGGCAGCUCUGCAGGUGGGCUCUCACCUGAGGGAGGGCACAGGGACACAAUUCCCACCUUUCCUUUGGGAUCUGCCCAGGGCUGGGGCAGCUCUGCAGGUGGGCUCUCACCUGAGGGAGGGGCACAGGGACAGAGCCCCCCUCCCCUGCACUGAAUCACCUGAACCCUUCCCUGCAAGGGGCUUUCCACGCUCCCCCACAGCAAAGCAACAAUCAAUGGACACGAUGGGUAAAACCCCAAGAACUGCAAGAAUCAGAAUGGCACAAAUGCCAAAGGAACAGCACAAAGCCAGUCCAGCCCUGUCUGGGGAACAGGCAGCUCGUGGUGCUUUAGAGGUGUAGCACAGCCCCAGCUCCCAGAGGCAGCCAAAGCUGCUCUCAGCUGCUCUCCAUGGAUGAUUCCACUGGCCCCAACCUGCACUAAGAGCCAAGUGAUUCCAGCUGUUUCUGAGUUUUGAUGUGUAUUUAGCAUGCAUAAAGUGUAAGCCAUUACAGACAUUAAAAGCAGUAAGACACAGAUUAGGUGAUUUCAUUAGUCCAAAAUCCUUCUCCAGCAGGAUUUUCCACAUGAACAGGGCAUUUCCCAGGAAUGUGUCUGGGCUAUUUCUAGGGGACCCAGAUGUGGAAUACACCACCAGCUCCCUUGGGAGUCAAUUUCACAGCCAAAUACUUUCCCAAGUAGGUUGAAUUGUGUGAUGAUCAACAUAAACAUUUUUAUUUCAUCUCAUUAUUUCUAUUUAUGCUGCUUGUACUUGACAAAUUCAAAAAGUUAAUAAUGUGUCACAUAAAACUAAUGGCCAGAACAAUAAAUAUUCUGUAUAAUUUCACAAACACAGCAUCAGUUUUAUUUAGGUUCUGUGAUACAUUGCCAGCAUAUUGCCUUUCAAGAUGUAUUAAAAUAUACCAUGGAUAUUUUUUUUUUCCUUAACAAGAAAACAUAUUUCUGUGGUUUGAUCAAAUAAGUCUUACAUGGUUUUCAAUUUCCAGGAAGGCAAUUAAAAUAAAGGAAAAAUCUUAUGGUGGUGGAUGAGAAAAGGAACAUUACCCAAACAGUUCAGUUCUAUUACUUGAUUCCACUUGUACAGGUGAUUUCACUCUGUAGAAAAAGGGUCAAAUUCCAUUUGCAAGUUUUUAAAUUGUGCCAUUAAAAUCUGAGUGAACAUUUUCAAAGCAAGUUACAAGCAAUUUCCUAUUAAAAAUAGAUUAUUAAGCUUUAAAAACUAUAUUCUCAGGGUAGUAUGUGUGUUCUGCAAGAUAGAGAUGAAUGAACUUCUAGCAAUAAUUCACAGUAAAUGAGUUUAGAUUAAAAAUUUACAUUUACCUUGUCCCUGAUAGCUACCUUGGAAUUUCAGAGGGGCUGGGGAAUGAACUGACUUGGUCUCAGAACUGGGUUGCUGCAUGAGAGAAACUAACAAAAAUCACAUUCAAACCCUCAGCUGGAUGUUGGCAGCCUGACAUGGGGAACACAGAUGUGAGCACCCCGGAUCUGCAGCCCACAUGCCACCAGCCCACGGGCCCCCAGUCUGCUCCCCCUUAUUUAACAACUGCUCUGUGCUGCCCAGGGCUCCUGAGAGUCCAGCAGCAGCCAGAACCAGCUCAGGGUGAAGGGGAGGGAUUGGUGAGGAGAAUUUGGAUCUCCAAAGCCAGCAGCUCAGGGUGAAGGGGAGGGAUUGGUGAGGUGAAUUUGGAUCUCCAAGGCCAGCAGCUCAGGGUGAAGGGGAGGGAUUGGUGAGGUGAAUUUGGAUCUCCAAGGCCAGCAGCUCAGGGUGAAGGGGUGGGACUGGUGAGGUGAAUUUGGAUCUCCAAAGCCAGCAGCUGGGGGUGAAGGGGAGGGAUUGGUGAGGUGAGUUUGGAUCUCCAAGGCCAGCAGCUCAGGGUGAAGGGGAGGGAUUGGUGAGGUGAGUUUGGAUCUCCAAAGCCAGCAGCUCAGGGUGAAGGGGAGGGAUUGGUGAGGUGAGUUUGGAUCUCCAAGGCCAGCAGCUCAGGGUGAAGGGGAGGGAUUGGUGAGGAGAAUUUGGAUCUCCAAGGCCAGCAGCUGGGGGUGAAGGGGAGGGAUUGGUGAGGAGAAUUUGGAUCUCCAAGGCCAGCAGCUGGGGGUGAAGGGGAGGGAUUGGUGAGAAGAAUUUGGAUCUCCAAGGCCACCAGCUCAGGGUGAAGGGGAGGGAUUGGUGAGGUGAAUUUGGAUCUCCAAGGCCAGCAGCUCAGGGUGAAGGGGAGGGAUUGGUGAGGUGAAUUUGGAUCUCCAAGGCAGCUCCCCUGAAAUGGCCAAAUCUCAUGUCACAGUUUGAGACCGGCCACCCACGGAUGCCAACGCUCGUCCUUCUCCUUCAGUUCCCUGGGAUGAGCCCAUGGGGAGCAAAUCUGGGAGUUAUGUGCAUAUAUAUGGGCAGUGGUGACUAUUUAUUUUGAUUUUGUACAGGUGAAGGGGCAGGACCUUAACAGUUCUUUUCAAGCACUCAGCUGGUUUUUGCACAGGAAAACAAAGUAAAAAAACCCAAUGAAAUGGGACAGCUGGAUGAAGAUUGCAAACACAACACACAAAACAACGACUUGGCAUAAAUGAAUGCAAAUAAGUCCUUGAUAAUGCUGUUGAGAAGCUGCUGGUGUUAUUAGUACUUCAAUCACAGAGAUGCUCGUUAGAGGGAAAAAAUGAACUUAGAAAAUCCUUCUCCUGUGGGAAGCUUCAUGCUCCUUCCCCUCCUUCCAGCAAAUUCCUCCUUAUCAGCUAAAAUCAGGGUCCAACCUGCGGAAAUGUUUACAGUCUUCAAACCUAAAACUAGUUAAAAUCACUUAUCAGCCAAAUGUCCCCUAAAUACAAGGCAGGCUUAACAGAUAUGUCUGCUGAUCUCAUGACAGCUCCCUUCCAAAGUUCUAUAUUCAAUACUAUAUCACGGGAGUAGAAAAAGUUCCCCCUAAUUUUUUUUCCCCUAAUUUUGCAAUAGAAUUCAAAACAAGAUACUGGGCACUUGUUUACUGGAAAUAAUUCAUUAGGUGAAGGUUUUAUUGGGUAUUUUUGUUGCUGUUUUGGUGGGAGGGAUCACAGCCAGCCUCUAUGGAGUUCUAAUGCAGCUAAUCCACUUUAACCACCUCAGCUGCCCAGGGAAUGCUCCCUUCCUACCCCUGGCAUUCCUUCAAAGGGGAUCCCACACUUUUCCAUGCCCUAAAAGUGGGCCAGCAUAUGAGGAAUAAACACCAAAUAGAAAGUACAAGCUGGGGUGUCUUCCCUGUGUAUUCCUUUGUCACCUCAAUGCACUAGGAGGAUGCCUGAAGAGUGGAAGUGGUUUUGCUGAAGACAACAGACAGCUACACACAGACAGCCUUGGAAUUCCUCUGUUAAUGUAUGGAAAAGCUCCUAGAACCAGUAACUGACAAAAAGCCCAGAAAUAAGAUUUCAGAAAUUAAACAGCCUUUUCAAAGGGAAGUUGAGAAACCCAGAGCCUGCCUUAGCCAGGUCAGGCUGAACCUUUCUGGUCUCAAAGACUGCAUGUGAUCCAUCUCCAGCAAGUGACACAGCAGAUCAGGAUUAUUCCCUUUACUUCCCCCCAUCCCUCAAUUUCAUCCCCUUGCUGCAACUAUUAUCCUUCUGAGGACAGGAAUGACUGCCAGCCUAUUUGUUUCAUCCUUGAAAAACCCUAAGCUGCUCUGUCCCCCUCUAACACAUCUUGAUCAGACAAAAAGAAAGUGGUUCAAGUUGUGCCUCGGGAGGUUUAAACUGGAUAUUAGAGAAAAUUCCUUUAUGGAAAGAGUUGUGAAGCAAUGCACAGGCUGCCCAGGGAAAUGGGCAUCCCUGGAAAUGCUCAAUAACCUUGUGGAUGUGGUAUUGAAGACAGUUUAAUGGCGAACACGGUGGUGGUGCUGUGUCCAUGAAUGCACAUGGUGAUUCAAAGGCCUUUUCCAGCCUUACCAAUUCUAUGAUUUGACACAGCCUGGUCAUUUCUGCUUGAUGAGGCUUUUGUGCAUCACACCUCACGCCUGGCCUCCUUCCAAAUCCUCCUGUUGCACAGGAGCCCCAGUCUCAGCUCGCUGGAGCUGUCCUUGCCAUGCUUACACUAACCCAGCUCACCAAAGGUCAGUAGGUGUCACAUAAGCUGGUCCAUUGGCAAAUCUGAUGGACCAAAAGCAGGUCAGCCACGUGUGAAGUAAAGGGGAAAGUGAGUCAUCAAGAGUGACAACCAGAACAGGAUAAAAGCUGUAAAAACCAUCAGUUCCUUGGCCUUUAGUUCUUUGCUGAACUCCAGCAGCAUGAAACAGCCCAAAAUCAAGCCACAUGUCAAAAUUAACAUGAAUUCACCCUGUAGAAGAGCUGGAGCUGGCAGCUUCAUUUCAAAUCAUUCCUGACCCUGCAGCUUCCCCAAACCCUGCACCCUGUGGCACAGGACUUACUACUCAUUUCUCUGCUCCUUUACUGCUGGUUGCCACUUCAUUGCAAUAUAAAAGGAAUUUAACAAGGGUAUCACUCAGAUGCAAAAUACAAAUAGACUGAGAAUAUAUUAAUUAAUCUGUGGUACCCCCUACCCACUCCCAAAUCAGCUCAUCACUUUAGCUCUGCACUUCACGAACAGAUGGGAUCUUCUGGCAGCCUUUAAACCACUCAAAAGCACUUUCUCCCAUAACAAAGAAAACUAAUUACUAGAAUAAGAUGCUAUUUCCCAUCUAUUUAUCUGCUAUUUUUAAGGAAUCAGCUCGCUGUCUGAUUCAGGAUUUGCAGCAAAGCCCUCAAACAGCAGAAUUAAAUGCACAUUGGUACAAUGGUACAGAACACACUAAAUGAACUUUGUAAGGAUUUUGCUCACCAAAUGCUUCUCCCUUUCCCUUUAGGAAACUAAGGAUCAUGGAUGCAUAGAUAAUCAACACUUAGCACUGGCUUCUCGUGCUGGAUCCCUGAACACAGCAUA